UACAGAGGGUGCAAGCGUUAAUCGGAAUUACUGGGCGUAAAGCGUGCGUAGACGGUUAUGUAAGUCAGGUGUGAAAGCCCCGGGCUCAACCUGGGAAUUGCAUUUGAGACUGCAUAGCUAGGGUGCGGAAGAGGGAAGCGGAAUUUCCGGUGUAGCGGUGAAAUGCGUAGAUAUCGAGAGGAACACCUGCGGCGAAGGCGGGUUGCUGGGCCGACACUGACGCUGAUGCGCGGAAAGCGUGGGGAGCAAACAGG
rnacentral:rRNA from 1 species